UUCUGGCUCAGGAUGAACGCUAGCUACAGGCUUAACACAUGCAAGUCGAGGGGCAGCAUUGGAGUAGCAAUACUCAGAUGGCGACCGGCGCACGGGUGAGUAACACGUAUCCAACCUGCCGCUUACUCGGGGAUAGCCUUUCGAAAGAAAGAUUAAUACCCGAUGGUAUAAAGAGUUCGCAUGUUCUCUUUAUUAAAGAAUUUCGGUAAGCGAUGGGGAUGCGUUCCAUCAGAUAGUUGGCGGGGUAACGGCCACCAAGUCUACGAUGGAUAGGGGUUCUGAGAGGAAGGUCCCCCCACAUUGGAACUGAGACACGGUCCAAACUCCUACGGGAGGCAGCAGUGAGGAAUAUUGGUCAAUGGACGAGAGUCUGAACCAGCCAAGUAGCGUGAGGGAUGACUGCCCUAUGGGUUGUAAACUUCUUUUAUAAGGGAAUAAAGUGAGGGACGUGUCCCUUUUUGUAUGUACCUUAUGAAUAAGGAUCGGCUAACUCCGUGCCAGCAGCUGC
rnacentral:rRNA from 1 species